rnacentral:rRNA from 1 species
GAAUUUUGGACAAUGGGCGAAAGCCUGAUCCAGCAAUGCCGCGUGCAGGAUGAAGGCCUUCGGGUUGUAAACUGCUUUUGUACGGAACGAAACACUUCUGGGUAAUACGCUGGAGUCAUUACGGUCCCGUAAGACUAAGAACCGUCAAACAACGUGCCCACCGCCGCGGUAAUACGUCGGGUGCAAGCGUUAAACGGAAUAACUGGGCGUAAAGCGUGCGCAGGCGGUUUUGUAAGACAGAGGUGAAAUCCCCGGGCUCAACCUGGGAACUGCCUUUGUGACUGCGAGGCUAGAGUACGGCAGAGGGGGGUGGAAUUCCGCGUGUAGCAGUGAAAUGCGUAGAUAUGCGGAGGAACACCGAUGGCGAAGGCAACCCCCUGGGCCUGUACUGACGCUCAUGCACGAAAGCGUGGGGAGCAAACA